rnacentral:lncRNA from 1 species
CAUCACUGCCCAUCGUGCCUUCAAACAGGCUAUGCUCUUGAUUUUCAAGCAAUGUGCCAAAACUUUCGCCCUUUGUUGGGAAUUGAAAUUUUGCAUUAUGUUGGCUACCAAUUGAUAUUGAAGGUGGUACUGGCCCAACUAUGUCAUCCAUGGAGUCAUCUUUAUCAUGAUCCAGAGGUCUAUGUGUGUUGUUUUUCUUAUAGAUUCGACAUAGCACCCAAUCAUCAAGCUAUAAACCAAAAGCAAAAAAACAAAAGCACUUCUCAUCAGUAAACCAAUCAGUUUUCAAACAAUCAAUUCUUGAUAUAACCAUAAACUGAGUAAACCUGACAAAAGUGAUUACCCUUAGUGAGUUUUUCUUGUAGCCCAAGUCAAAUCCAGGGGGUUUGUUGUUAGUUUUAUUAUCAGCAAGCCUAUAUUCAUGCAUGAUCCAACUGGUUUUGAUCCCUUUAGGGGGCUUCCCACCGUAGAACACCAGUGCCUUCUUCACACCAACCUUUUGACUCCCUCCUGAGGUCAAUACCGGCUUAUCGGUUCCGGUAGCCUUCCAGUAACCUGAAGUAGCCGCCCUGUUAGGCCUCGCUCCAUUCGGAUACUUCCUGUCUCUGGGACUAAAAAAGUACCAUUCUUGCUCACCAAACGUGGCCUUAGCUGAAACCCCAAACAAAUUCAAAGAUUAUUCAUCAUAGUCAUAUGUAAAUAUGUGACACUCAAAUGAUCAAUCUAUAUGCACUUUUCACUUUCUUUUUCUCUUUUCCUGUAUGCUUCCUUUUACCUGGUAAUUCCCAUGGAUCAAACUUAUACAAAUCAACUUCUGCAAUGAUUGCAACAGGCAGAGGAGCUGAGGUAGCCUUUUUCUUGAGAUAGUGUACAACUAGUUCUUCAUCCGUGGGAUGGAACCUGAAUCCUGGUGGGAGAUUAGGCUGCUGGGAGCCUGUCGACGAGUCAGUGCUCUCC